CACACGACUCUCGGCAACGGAUAUCUCGGCUCUCGCAUCGAUGAAGAACGUAGCGAAAUGCGAUACCUGGUGUGAAUUGCAGAAUCCCGCGAACCAUCGAGUCUUUGAACGCAAGUUGCGCCCCAGGCCACUCGGCCGAGGGCACGCCUGCCUGGGCGUCACGC
rnacentral:rRNA from 1 species